GACGAACGCUGGCGGCGUGCCUAAUACAUGCAAGUUGAGCGCUGAAGGUUGGUACUUGUACCGACUGGAUGAGCAGCGAACGGGUGAGUAACGCGUGGGGAAUCUGCCUUUGAGCGGGGGACAACAUUUGGAAACGAAUGCUAAUACCGCAUAAAAACUUUAAACACAAGUUUUAAGUUUGAAAGAUGCAAUUGCAUCACUCAAAGAUGAUCCCGCGUUGUAUUAGCUAGUUGGUGAGGUAAAGGCUCACCAAGGCGAUGAUACAUAGCCGACCUGAGAGGGUGAUCGGCCACAUUGGGACUGAGACACGGCCCAAACUCCUACGGGAGGCAGCAGUAGGGAAUCUUCGGCAAUGGACGAAAGUCUGACCGAGCAACGCCGCGUGAGUGAAGAAGGUUUUCGGAUCGUAAAACUCUGUUGGUAGAGAAGAACGUUGGUGAGAGUGGAAAGCUCAUCAAGUGACGGUAACUACCCAGAAAGAGUCGGCUAACUACGUG
rnacentral:rRNA from 1 species